rnacentral:lncRNA from 1 species
UGUGAUGAUACAAGCUUGUGGAAAAGGACAGCGAGGUUAACGUGAAGCAGUGUGGAAUGAAUCUUCUCCCACUUUUUUUCUUGGGUAUUGGAUUUGGAUAGGAAGUUUUGCUCAUUUCUAUUCUGCUGACGGUGCAAUGAUCAUUUUGCCAUUAAAGCUCUCUGCACAUGGGUGCAGCUUCCUAGAGGGAUUCAAGGAUGGCAACAAACGAGCAGCACUACAACACCGCCACCAGUCUAUCACAGCUGUUUCCUUCCCACAGCUGUGUCCAGACCCUCCGUGUAUCUCCUGCCUGAGAUUUAGGCUUUAACAUUCCCUUGCACUUCACAUCCCCUCCUCUCCUACAUUGCACAGCGAAGCGAUUAGCUGUGUUUGGCUUUGCAGUGUGGGUUGGACUUUGCGUUUAGCUUUAGAAACUCAGUGCGAAACACCCAAGCAGAUGCUCUAGUUCAGGGCUAUAGAGCCGCAGGCAAAUGUUAAAUUAAAUAUCGGAUUGGAUAUAGUACUGUACUGAACACUUGCUUAAAUAAUUCUUCAUAGACGAAAAAGGGCCAUUUUGUUUGGUGGUUGUGAAAAUGUCUUUCAGAUGAUAAGGGUUUCAGCAUCACUGGCCUUAUCCCAAGUGGAGAACAAAGGUCAGAGGUCAUUGUGAUACUUCCCAUUAGUCUUUAGGCACGUUGCUUAUGCUUUCCUGCAGCUCUUCAUGUAAGAUUGGCUCCGACGGGUAUUGAUAAGGCUUAAGUUCGUAUUGUAGAGGUGUGUCUGUGCCUUUGAAGAGCAGAAUGCCUUUGAGUCUCCUCUAGUGAAGUGCAGAUCACAGUGGGAGUGAGGCUGGCAGGAGAGAAGAGAGGGACUGGCUAUUGUCAUUGUUGUAGGCUCAGGGUGGAUUUGCCUUGUUUUCUGUCAGGACAUCGCUGAUUACACAUUUUAGGGGGUAUGUUUGUUAGAUAUUUUAGAAGAAAGGGCCACAGCUGACGCCCUCAGCAUCCACUCAUACGCUUCUCAUUUCUCCUUUGCACAGUCAGGCAUGUGAUGCUUUGUCAUGAUAAAACGUAAUUGCCUUGCUUAAUCAUUUAUCCUGCAGCUCUUUCCUGCCCUGAGAUACAGUACAUGUAGAAGAAUAUACGACGAGUGUUGCAAGGUUCAUUUUAGGUGCAUGACUUUUUUUAUUUUUCACACGUGUGAAAAACACUCUUUGUAAUCUCUGGAAAAGUUUGUUUUUUAAAUAAAGCAUGGUCUGUUAAAAAUG